GAACCCGUGACGGUCAUGAGAAUUCCUUUCCUCCCCUCACAGUUCUAACCCUUUCUCAAGUCAGAGAUUUAAGUAAAGAAAAGUGAGACUGAGAACUUUUGGAAAAAGUGUUGGGAAGCAAUUUAGAAGGACCGGACCCUUUCACAAUCUAACUAUCCACUUUAGGUGUAGUCACUGGAUGGUUCAAAGAGAUGCCUCACGGUGACUUCAAUGUUUAUUUUGCAAGCAGAGGAGGACCCCAUGUCAGGACCGAAGAGGCAGCAGGCAUAGCUCUGUUGGUCUUCAUACUUGCAGCCCUUCUCAUCCUCGGAUGCUGGUAUUUUAGGAGGAGAUGCGGGUACAAAAUGAUUAGGAGCCCGAGAUCAGGGUCCCUGCCAGGAUUCAGUGGAGGACAGUUCAACGAGGGAGGAGCCACAGCAGAAAACAAGAUGGGCCUCAGUGACCUCCGACCUUUGGUUCCCAAUGCCCCUCCUGCAUAUGAGACGAUAUCAUCAGGACCCCUACCUCCUCCCUACUCCCCCUAAUAACAGUCCUCUGUGGAUAACCAAAAAGAUGAAAACUAUUUACAUUUACGUCAUUUAGCAGACGUUCUUAUCCAGAGCGACUUACAAAUUGGUGCAUUCACCUUAUGAUAUGAACUUAAUGUGUUGUCUUAUUUAAACUCUAUAUCAAUGAAGAAAAAGCUUUUGAUGAAAAUACUAUUAGCACUCUAUAUUUACAAUUACACGAUUUACCAUAUUUUACUCGUUAUUUUUUUCCUAUCUUGUAUUUUUUUUUGUUUUUGUGGAUUUCUCCAAAACUUGUUUUGUGUGUUAUGUGUUCCUCAAGGUUAUAUUUCUGAAGGUUGCUCGGCAAACAAGACCCUUCUAUCAAUACUUGAAUAAGAGUAUAUUAAUCGAUUACAACAAAGUCGUACUUAGGAAAUUGCUUGUUCAUUUAAGAUAACCAACGUAAAAAAAAAAAAAGUAUAUCUGCAAUUGAGAAUCCAUAGUAAUUUAAAGACAACCGCCGGCUUGAUCGUUGGCUUAUUAUUUCAACAUGUACUUAUGAAAGGAUUUGAAAAAUGAUGGAAUGGUUAUCCCCUAUAAAAUUCUGCAGACACAUUACAAUAAAAAUAUAAAGUUUACCAAGGGUCUAAUUCAAAUUAACACCACAAAACCCUCUAUGGAGGACAUUAUUUUCAAGCAGAAAUGUCCACAGUCAUGCAAUGAAAAUGUACCAACUAAAUACUUUGAAAAAUCUAUAUGGUAGGAAAAAUAAAUAAAUGUAAAAAUAUAUAUAUAUAUAUAUAUAUAUAUGGGCUUCAACAUUUCAAUAAAUCAUUUAGAAGUUGCAUUUCAAUCAUGUGAAAUACCAGUUUAUUUUCCAAAUAGUUGAUGGAAAUAAGACUGAUCCAAUGUAAUAAAAUGUAGACACCGACAUGCCUCUUGAGUAGGCAACACAUCAGAAGAACGUAUAUAACAGGUCAGAGGGAAAGACCUAAGAGUGUGGUAAACAGAAUAAAAACAAGUGUAGUUCCAAUCUAAGGAAUUCAAUUGAUAUCAUUUCAAAAUGAUAAUUAAUGUCAAUGAAACGCAUUACAAUCACAUUCAAAUCCAUUUGUCUACCCUUCAAACCAAGCAAUAUACAACAUAUUUAUUACUGGCCGAGAAAAAGUUUCAAAAAAGAAGUCCAAAUUGAUCUUGAAACUUUGAGAAGGAAACCCUAAAAUGCUGUUUGCUUUAAGAAAUAGAAAACCCAUCAAAAAUACACUGCCACCUACAUUUCUUGAGCAAACUGUUUGAGUCAGCUAUAGAGGUUUAUCUAGUGUCGCUUAAAGCUGCAAUAUGUCACUUUUUGGGUGACCUGACCAAAUUCACAUAGAAAUGCAUUAUAGAUCUGUCAUUCUUAUUGAAAGCAAGUCUAAGAAGCGGUAGAUCUGUUCCAUGUGCGCUCUCUCUAUGCCUCCCGUUCCUAAGUUUUGUUUUUGCGUCAAACAGCUGAAAAUACAAUAUUUUUAGUUAUGGAAAAGUAUUUCACAGCAGUUUAGAUGAUACAAUGAUUCUCUACACUAUACUUGCUUGUUUUGCCACAAACUCAAACUAGGGGAACUAUUAGAAUUUUAGCAACCAGGAAAUGGCAGAGCCAUUUCUGCAUAGUGCAUCUUUAAACACACUUAGAUAUGCAAAGUAAAAAUACAGCUCAACCAGGCAGUUUCUCAACCGACUACCACCUUCUACCAAAAAUAUUCUAGAAUGUUGUAGAUAUUCUAGAGGCGGUCCAGAACACAAAGUUUGCUGGAAUAUGUGUCUUCUUCAUCACAUACAAUGGUACUGGCUUUCAGUCUUUCAGUUGAUAGGGCCACUUCUGUCAGUCUGGGUAGGCAUCCAGGGAUUGUCAGUAUUUACAGGAGGCAGGGGCAGCACUCUCCCAGUGGAUUUCGGAGUUAGACUCAACGUAGCCAAAGGCUUGUUAGCCAUCUCUGGCAGGCCUGUGUUGGCGGUAGGGCCUCUAACCGUGUUUAAAACAGCACCAUCAGGACUCACUAGUAGCUUGGUGGUGGGGCUGGUUGUUUGCACUGCUGAUGCAGGCAUCUGUGAAGCCUGCAAAGGGCACUUGCCUAGGCCCAGUAUCUGCUGCUGCCAAGGAUUGGAUAAAACAAUGGGCAUGCGGAUAGUCUCUGCCGACAUCACCGUCCUGACAGGUUGAGCAGGUGUCAUGAUUACAGUGCUGUUGGAUGGAGGCACAGUUGCCACAGGAGAUGUUUUGCUACCGAAGGCACCCCCAAGGGGCGGUACAGUCACCACAGGUAGAGACUGCAUCCUGGAGAAGGUGCUCCAGAUCGGCGGAACAGCUACCGUCGGUAGGACCUGCAUCCGUGUGGAGACCGCUCCCAUAGUUUGCACGAAUGACGUUAUCUGCUGUGUUGUGAGUGGUGCAUAGUUGAUGCCAAGUCCCGUGUUCAAAGGGAGCUGCUUUGUUGGGCUCUGUAGAACUUCUGCUGUUUGAGCUGCGCUGGAACUUGCUGGCACGGAGGAAAGUGACAAGCCGCCCAUCCCUUCCGGUUGAGUUAAAGGUGGAGCUGCCACCACAUUAGCUAGGCCAGUAAGUAUGGUGGCCGGAGCAGGGAGCCGGUGUAAAACUGGUGGAGAACCGUUGGUGGUGGUGCUGGUGACCGAUAGUGGAGCUCGAAUCUCCAUCGUCUGGCGAGGGACAGUGAAAGAGACCGGGAGAUAGGGUCCAACUUUCUCAGCGGACGGCGCUGCAAGGGUUAGUGAUCUAAGUGCUGCUUGUUGAGGCUGGUGCGUCCUUGGUUGUGUGGCCAUUCUGGGGCCUUGUGCAGGUGUGGGUAGCCCAGGUAACGUUGGCCCUCGAGGGACACCGGUCGUUGGGCUCGCUCCCCUGGGACUAGGAGCUGCCACAGGCACUGCAGGGCUGGAUAUUAUGAGGACAUGCUGGCCAGGCCCAAGGCCUUGAGGGGGAACAACAAAACGGGUGUUGUUGAGCAGAAUCUGUGUGCCGCCUGCAAGCGGUGCAGGGGUGUUAAUGACAAUCUUCUGUUGCACAGUUGUGGUGGUGGUGCUGGUGACAGGAUUGGUAUUACCAGCCGGCCGCACUGCAGUGGACUGCUGAGUUGAUCUAGUGGCAAUUGGAGACUGUGGAGUACUUAUUUGAGGAGGUGUGGUGACCCCGCUUACACAGUGAGAGUGGUGAGACUGAGAAACCUGGGCCGGUGGUGUGAGAGGGGAUGUUUUGACAAGGCCUAGCGGUGUAGUGACCGGCACUGGUAGUUGUGGGUUGCUGGUGAUUAAACCUCUGAUUAUCGAAGACCGUGGUUGCCCAGUUACCUUGCUAAGAUUGGGGAUCACAGAGGACGAAGGGAUGCCUUGUAGUUGAGAUCCAGUCAGGCGUGUGGAAGAGGGCAAAUGUGCAGUGCUAGUGAUAAGGUGAGACGACGUGGUUGUAAGAAGUGCAGCCUGUGUGCCAGACACAGAUGUGCUUUUUAAAGUAGAUUGUGCAAGUGCACUUUCCUGUUGUGGUAGCCUUAUCGGAGAUCCUGGAAGCAGAUUGAUGCGCUGGACCUUAUUCAAGGCUCCGAAGUUUGCACUGCUGAUAGCUUGACCAAAGUUGAGUCCGAUCUUCAUUGCUUCAUUGGGUAUUGACGUGGUCAGGGAUUGUGCCCCAGACACUGAAACAUGUCUUGGAAUGCUACUUGUUGCGUGGGAUGCCUGGGCUGGUGAUUGGCUGAUGAACAUCAACCUUUGCCCUGGAAGAGCGGAGGGAGCUGUAGUGGAAGUGACUUUGGUUGCAGCCAUAGAAGUGACGUUGGACGAGGGAGAGACCAGGAUGAACUUAGUGAAUGGGGACCUCUCAUCUGGACAUACCCUUUUCAAAACAGGUUUAGUGACACACUGGACCAGAGAUGUCUGGGUGGCGCCUGCUGGGUUACCAGGUACAGUGACGAUGCUUUUAGGUAGCUGUGAGUUCACAGCAACUGUAGAUGAGACGUUGCAGCCCUGGUUUACAGCAACGGUAACAGCAGAGCCCACUGUCUGACCUGUGGCCUGAAUGCCAGCAGUGAUCGAAGACUGGCGUGCAGUUGUUGAACUCGUGACAGUUGAAGACCGUAAUGGUGACGGUCUUGAUUGCACCUGGGCUACAGUCGCGCUUGUGACCACUGGGACCGUGGGGGCAGCAGGGGGAGAGGUCUUGGACACCAGGAAGGCUUUGAACUGUGGAGAGAUGAUGACGGGACUGGCAGGUAACAAACCAGAUGUACUCUGAUCGGACAUUUGCACCUUGACUACUCCAGUGUUGCCCCCCCUAGUGGUGACUAGGAUGGACUGCGAGUCCCUUAUACACACGGUCUUCAGCUCUUGUUUAGGGACCGGAGGUUUACUGGGAUCAGUAAAAGCUGUGCUAGUGGGGUUGGAUGGUGAUCUAUUUGGUAUAACAUUUUGGGUAGUGCUACUCACUCUCGGACCAGGGAGUUGGACAACCUUGUAGCCUGUUGUAAGAGAGGUUGUCUGCAACCUAGAGGAGUUGGUAGGAGAGGGCGUAGCUCCCUUUAGCGGUGCCACUUGUUGUAUGGGGAUCCGGUUGUCAUGACUUUGAGGCAUGGUGAAUCCAGAGCUUUGUGACAGUGUAGUGGACGCUUUGGAAGCUGGGACCUGGAUUGUCCUUGGUUGCUGGGGGUGACUCUGACCCUCUGACUUUUGAAUGAGCAAGUUCGAAGGAAGGAUGACCACUUGCUGCAUUAGCUUAUCCCCCGUUUUCUGGUCCAGGAUUGGCUGCACUGCGAUUUUCAUAGGGCUUCCAGCUUUUCUGACCAGACCCAUGCCCUCGGGCAUCUUGUAGACAACCUGUACAGGGGUCUUUGGUAUGGGCGUGGUAUGGGACAUCUGUGUGUGUUUAGGUGUGGGUGUUGUUGGUUGCGGUAACUGUUGAGAGCUUUGUGGUAAAAAAUGUUUAAGUUUGGUAGCUUGCAGGGAAGAAGCACAGGCUAAGCUAUGCCCCUGACCAACAUGGCUGAUAACACCUGGCUGAUGAUGAAUUAAAGUAACUUUAUUACCAACAUUCUUAGCCAGCAGGGUAUAUAGCUGAAUGGGUUUGUGAGUCCUUUGGACACCAGCCAUCGGAGUAGUUAUAACCACUGGGCUUGUUUCUCCAACCUGCUGUGCUGCUGGAUUCGCUUCCCUGGAUCUGUUUUCCACUUCAGCUUCAGGGGAAGUCGUCAGUUCGUCACUGUUGAUCCUGCCUCUCUUAAUGAGGCUUGAGUUCUCAUCUAAAUCACUCUGCAGACGCUUCAAGCCCCGAGUGGAAGGCCUGUGCUCGUUCAAGGUCAACAUCUCUUGUCUGGUUACCACAGUGAAGCUGCCUCUCAACGCCUCUGUUCCAUACUGCCCUGAGUCCUCUGAAAAAAAGACACACAUUCAAUGUAUUUCAACUUGACUGUCAACUGACAAUGAUUUUACUGAUACAAAUCGUUUGUGAUUUCAAUGCAAUUUAUAAUAAAUAGCCUACACAUGA